GGGUUGGGGCUCAGUGGUAGAGCACUUACCUAGCAUGUGUGAGGCACUGGUUUCCAUUCUCAGCACUGAAUGUUAAUUAAUUAAUUAAUUAAUUAAACAAAAGUCCAUCAACAACGGAUAAAAAUAAUUUUUUAAAAGACAAAAAUAGGGCUAGGGUAAUGGUUCAGUAGUAGAGCGCUCGUCUAGCAGGCGUAAGGCCCUGGGUUCAAUCCUCAACAUCACA
rnacentral:tRNA from 1 species